rnacentral:snRNA from 1 species
UUCUCUGCUCAGUGCAAGUAUCAUAGCCAAUGAGGUUUAUCUGAGACAUGAGUAUUGCUAAUUGAAAACUUUAAAAAUAAAAUAAAGUGUUCUCAUUUAGAAUGGAACCCCAGGUGCCUCUGAGGGG